UAGGUGGAACAGCGCCACUGGCCCCGCCCUCUGGACAAACAGAACCAUCCUUAAAGACCGGUGACAGGUGGAACAGCGCCACUGGCCCCGCCCUCUGGACAAACAGAACCGUCCUUAAAGACCGGUGAUAGGUGGAACAGCGCCACUGGCCCCGCCCUCUGGACAAACAGAACCGUCCUUAAAGACCGGUGAUAGGUGGAACAGCGCCACUGGCCCCGCCCUCUGGACAAACAGAGCCGUCCUUAAAGACCGGUGAUAGGUGGAACAGCGCCACUGGCCCCGCCCUCUGGACAAACAGAGCCGUCCUUAAAGCAGAGACCGGCGAUAGGUGGAACAGCGCCACUGGCCCCGCCCUCUGGACAAACAGAGCCGUCCGAUAGGUGGAACAGCGCCACUGGCCCCGCCCCCAGGCACAUUAGCUGUUGUUUUUCUUUUGAGAAAAGAGCGUCCAUGUUUGAAGUAACGUCUUCGUCGUCGUAAUAAUGUAACGUGGACGUGGCGGUUUCAUCACUAUGGAUUCCAGGUUGAAGAAGCGCUGUCACUGAGCACCAAGUCUGUGAUUCCAGGUUGAAGAAGCGCUGUCACUGAGCACCAAGUCUGUGAUUCUUAUCUGACCAUGUAAAGAAUAACAGCAUGUUGCCUUGUGAAGUCUUGUAUGUAAUUAAUGUGUCAUUAAUUAAUGUGUGUGUUUCAUGCUGUGACCAACGGAUGUCAAUGAUAAGGGGCUUGUGAAAUGGAUCUGAAUGGGUAUUUGAAUGUGUGUUUAUUCAGUACAUUAAAAACGAUCAUGUUUUUCAGA